rnacentral:rRNA from 1 species
UAGGGAAUCUUCGGCAAUGGGGGGAACCCUUACCGAGCAACGCCGCGUGAGUGAAGAAGGUUUUCGGAUCGUAAAGCUCUGUUGUUAAGGAAGAACGAGUGUGAGAAUGGAAAGUUCAUACUGUGACGGUACUUAACCAGAAAGGGACGGCUAACUACGUGCCAGCAGCCGCGGUAAUACGUAGGUCCCGAGCGUUGUCCGGCUUUAUUGGGCGUAAAGCGAGCGCAGGGGGUUAGCUAAGUCUGAAGUUAAAGGCAGUGGCUAAACCAUUAAAGGCUUUGGAAACGGGAUAACUGGAGUGCAGAAGGGGAGGGGGGAAUUCCAUAGGAAGGGGUGAAAUGCGUAGAUAUAGGAAGGAAAACCGGGGGCGAAAGCGGCUCUCUGGUCUGUAACGGACGCGGAGGCUCGAAAGCGUGGGGAGCGAACAGG